CUAACUCAGAUUUGUAUGAAGUUGGAACAUUUAUCGACGUUUGCCGCUAGGGGCGCUUUUUCAACUGCAUAUAAAAUUGAGUUA
rnacentral:pre_miRNA from 1 species